CAAUGACAUGUUCACCCACCACAGAUGGAGUUCUCUAAGCUGGGUUAGAUUUUGAACAAGCUUGUCAAAAGAAAUUGGUUCUAGACUUAGAUAGUCGUUUUCGUUUCCAGAGAGAGCAAGUGAAACCAACUCAGUGAGUUGCUCAAGAUCAUAUGGAAUUGAACCUGUAAGAUUGUUAUCUGCAAGAUCCAACUGCUGGAGGUGCUUAAAUUUUCUCAUUGAGGAUGGGAAUUUUCCUUGCAAUCCACAUGAAUGGAGUACAAGUGAUGACAAAGAAGAAGAUAGAUUCAUCAAGGAAUUGGGUUCAACCAAUGACAUAUUCACCCACCUCAGAUAGAGUUCUCUAAGCUGGGUUAGAUUUUGAACAAGCUUGUCAAAAGAAAUUGGUUCUAGACUUAGAUAGUCGUUUUCGUUUCCAGAGAGAGCAAGUGAAACCAACUCAGUGAGUUGCCAAGAUCAUCUGGAAUUGACCUGUAAGAUUGUUAUCUGCAAGAUCCAACUGCUGGAGGUGCUUAAACUUUCUCAUUGAGGACGGGAAUUCUCCUUGCAAUCCACAGGAAAGAGUUUGAGUGAUGACAAAGAAGAAGACAGAUUCAUCAAGGAAUUGGGUUAACCAAUGACAUGUCUACUGCACUCAGAUCGAGUUCUCUAAGCUGGGUUAGAUUUCGAGCAAGCUUGGCAAAAGAAAUUGGUUCUAGACUUAGAUAGUCUUUUAAGCCCCCAGAGAGAUCAAGUGAAACCAAUUUGGAGAGCUGAGAGAUUUCCGACGGAACUUGACCUGCAAAGACUGAGUAAUUUAGGUUAAGAUGUGUCAGGUUGGAGAGCUGACCAAAUAGAGAAGAAAUAUGGGAGCUUUGGAAAUCAUUGUCAGAGAGGUCGAGGUUUUGAAGAUGAUGCAGGGAGAAGAGGGUGCUAUUGGAAUGGAGGGUGCCAUAAAGCAUGCUGCAAGCAAGGUCCAGUCCAGUGACAUGCCCUGUUUUCAUGUCACAGGUGAUGCCAUCCCACAAGCAGCAGUCUGUACCCUCUUUCCACGACUCUGUCUUGGGAUGCUGGCAACGCCCUGAAGCAGAGCUACUAAUGGAAAAGGACUCUUUGAAUUGGAGCAAAGAAAGGCUUUGGUCAGGAGCACAGAAAUGAGAUGAAGAGGAGUAAUUUGAUGAAGAAAUUGUUGUGUGAAAAUGGAAGAGAAACAGAAUGGAAGAGAGAAAUUGAGAGAGGGACAGUGGUGAAAACCCCAUGGUGGCUGGGCUUACAGGAUUCGAAAGUAUAUUUGGAGUGUUGAGCGAAAGAUGAGAAAUAAAGAUUCGCAUUGGUACUAUUUAUACACAAACCAAUCUACGUUCACAAAUGAAGUGGCUUUAUGAUUUUUGUUGAGAGUAGAUAAUAUCCCUGCAUUUACAUUUGCAGCAAUUUUCAUUUGGUCCUGAAUAUGGAAUUGAAGGUUGAGUUAUUCAAUUGCAAAUAUUUCCGUACAAGUAGGUCCCUUUGUUGACUAAACAAUAGUGUUGGAAACACGGCAAUAUUAAUUUUUAUAAUUGAUAUUUUUUGUGGAAAUUAUUUUUUACUAUUCAUAUAUAUAUAGUUCAUUAACUAAUGAAGUAUUGAUCUAGCGAUUAAGAAGGUACCGCUAGGGGCAAGGGUGAGAACACAAGUUCGUUUUUCAAGGAGCAUAUUUGUUGGGAGGGACAACUAUAAAUCCCGAACGGGACUAAUCUCAUCCUUUUGCAUGAGUUGUCUAUAGAGGAAACGAUUUAUUAUUUUAUAAUUUACUGGCUCCAUGAUUUUUGUUGAGAGUAGAUAGUAUCCCUACAUUUACAUUUGCAACAAGUUUAUGUGCCAAUCUUCAUUUGGUGCUGAAUAUGGAAUUGAAGGUUGAAUUAUUCAAUUGCAAAUAUUUCUAUACAAGUAGGUCCCUUAGUUGACUAAACAAUAGUGUUGGGAACACGACAAUAUUAAUUUUCAUAAUUGAUAUUUUUUGUGGAAAUUAUUUUUUACUAUUCAUAUAAAUAGUUCAUUAACUAAUGAAGUAUUGGUCUAGCGAUUAAGGCACCGCUAGGGGCAAGGGUGAGAACACAAGUUCGUUUUUUAGGGAGCACAUUUGUUGGGAGGGACAACUAUAAAUCCCAAACGGGACUAAUCUCACCCUUUUGCAUGAGUUGUCUAUAAAGGAAACGAUUUAUUAUUUUAUAAUUUACUGGCUCCAUGAUUUUUGUUGAGAGUAGAUAAUAUCCCUACAUUUACAUUUGCAACAAGUUUAUGUGCCAAUCUUCAUUUGGUGCUGAAUAUGGAAUUGAAGGUUGAAUUAUUCAAUUGCAAAUAUUUCUAUACAAGUAGGUCCCUUAGUUGACUAAACAAUAGUGUUGGAAACACGGCAAUAUUAAUUUUCAUAAUUGAUAUUUUUUGUGGAAAUUAUUUUUUACUAUUCAUAUAAAUAGUUCAUUAACUAAUGAAGUAUUGGUCUAGCGAUUAAGGCACCGCUAGGGGCAAGGGUGAGAACACAAGUUCGUUUUUCAGGGAGCACAUUUGUUGGGAGGGACAACUAUAAAUCCCAAACGGGACUAAUCUCACCCUUUUGCAUGAGUUGUCUAUAAAGGAAACGAUUUAUUAUUUUAUAAUUUACUGGCUCCAUGAUUUUUGUUGACAGUAGAUAAUAUCCCUACAUUUACAUUUGCAACAAGUUUAUGUGUCAAUCUUCAUUUGGUGUUGAAUAUGGAAUUGAAGGUUGAAUUAUUCAAUUGCAAAUAUUUCUAUACAAGUAGGUCCCUUAGUUGACUAAACAAUAGUGUUGGAAACACGGCAAUAUUAAUUUUCAUAAUUGAUAUUUUUUGUGGAAAUUAUUUUUUACUAUUCAUAUAUAUAGUUCAUUAACUAAUGAAGUAUUGAUCUAGCGAUUAAGGCACUGCUAGGAGUAAAGGUGAGAACACAAGUUCGUUCUUUAGGGAGCACAUUUAUUGGGAGGGACAACUAUAAAUACCGAACAGGACUAAUCUCACCCUUUUGCAUGAGUUGUCUAUAGAGGAGACGAUUUCUUAUUUUAUAAUUUACUGGCUCCAUGAUUUUUGUUGAGAGUAGAUAAUAUCCCUACAUUUACAUUUGCAGCAAGUUUAUGUGUCAAUCUUCAUUUGGUGCUGAAUAUGGAAUUGAAGGUUGAAUUAUUCAAUUGCAAAUAUUUCUAUACAUGUAGGUCCCUUAGUUGACUAAACAAUAGUGUUGGAAACACGGCAAUAUUAAUUUCCAUAAUUGACAUCGGCAAUAUUAAUUUUCAUAAUUGAUAUUUUUUGGAAAUUAAUUAUUUCUUACUAUUUAUAUAUAUAGUUCAUUAACAAUUUUAGGUAAAGAUACGUAAAGAUGAUAUCCCUUCAUAUUUACAUAUGCAGAAAGUGUAUGUGCUAAUAGAUACAGUUAAUUUGUGCUGUAAUUAUAAAUUUUUUUUGUAGCUCGUCUGAUGGUCUGUCCUUUUCCUCGUUGACCUAACUUGGAAAUAAUGUCCAACAAUUACGUGUGGAAAUGUUGGAAUUGAAUGUUGAAUUAUUCAAUUGCAAAUAUUUCCAUACCAGUAGGUCCCUUAAUAUUUCCGUACCUCCUUGACCGUACAAUAGCGUUGGAAACACGGCAAUAUUAAUUUUCAUAAUUGACAUUUUAUAUGCAAAUUUCUGAAUAUUCACAGUUCAUUUAUGAUUUUAGGUAAAGAUAUAUCUAAACCCUGAAGUUAAAAGCCUCUAAUAAUCUUGAAUUGGGUUUGUGACACUUUAACUAGUAAUUUAUAUAAAAAAAAUUAAAAACUUAAUUAAUUACACUACAUCUCCUAGAAUUUACAUUUACAUUUGCAGGAAGUGCAUAAUUAAUAGAUACAGUUUGUGAUCUCAUUGCAACUUUAUUUUGGAGCUCGUCUGAUGGUAACUGUUCUUGGGACAUCUACCGCUCUAUGCCUAGGUGGCUUCUAAUUUUAAUACUAAUUAAAUCUUCUGCAAAAUGCUGUGAAAUUAUUAUUGUGAUUAUUAACAAGAACAAGGAACUGCUUACUUGAAGGGUUAAACAAUUAUACGUUUUUUAUCAGAAAAAAUAAGCAUUUAUAGUUUAAAAAUAACAUUUCCAGGCUGGGAAUUCAGGCAAACGCAGAUACUACACAUCAAGAACAUUGCAAAAAUUUAACUACUAUGCAGCGAACAAUGGUGGAACGAUAUUUAUUUAUCUAGGGAUUAUGUUAUUUAGGUUCGCUAGUUAGUUCAACAAACUUCUAUUAUGUAUAAUGUGAUUGCAUAACACACUUAUGCCUUACUUAAUACUAUCAGCUUCUUUUAAAAAAAAGAACAUUGCAAAAAUGAUUCAUUGACAAAUAAGACUUCCCAGUAAAAAGAAGUUCAUAAUUGGAGCACAAGAUCAGAGAAAAGGUUCAUUGAUGAAUGUCAUGUGUGUUGAAGACCUGUGUAUUAUAUUAUUUUAAUCAUAUUCAGUUUAAUUUUUUCAAUUUAGUAUUUUAAGUUUAGUAGGAUUCAUUGAACUAUAUAAAAAAACACUUGUAUAUAACAACAACUUCAGCACUAUCAAGCCUCAAGGCUUCUCUUGUUCUUCUUCCUCUCUUUGAAUCUCUUCUUGUUCUUAUAAUGUGAAUCUCUCCCACCUCUGGACUUCGAGCAAAAGCUCUUAAAAAAAUUGGGAAUCGUAUAUGACUUGUGCUUGAUUCCCUGGGAAACAUAAGUGGCCGUAAACAAAGAAUGGAAUGUUCAGCGGAGUCACGGAACUAAACUACCCCUUUUUAGGGGAAAUCACUUACGACUUGGUCUGUUCUUUUACUUGACCCCAAAGUCUUUGUUUCUAGUAAAUAAUUUUCCCGCAAAUUAAUUAAUUUUAUAGAUAUUGGAGGUGGGCUUUUACAUGAAAAUAUCAUUAGGGAAAAAAAAUUGUGAUUGCUUAAUGUGAAUGUUCAGAGAAGUUUUUCUAAAGUGUAUUUAGGAAUGAAAUUUAUGUGAAGCUUGCUUUACAUACUGAAUUUAAUUUCCCAAAAAAAAAAUCCGACCACAAAAUUUUUCAAUAAUUUACAAACGUAGUUAAUUCACAUCUUAGGUAUGUGAAGAAUGUAAAGAAUGUUAAUUCACGUAGUUAAUUCAAUAAUUUUUAAAACUUAAGAUCACUAACUCAUCUUAUAUAAAGAAUAUUAUACUUUGAUCAUGUUACAUGUUAUCUUAAUCAAGGUAACAAAAAAGUAGACAAUGGAUAUAUCAUGAAUUAUAUGAAGGUAUUUGAAUGAUUAAGACAAGAUUCAUUACACUAGAUGAAUAAAAAAAGAAACAUCUAUUUUCAUAUAGUAUUGACUGAGAAUUAUUUUGGCCAAUGUGGAAUGAGAUUUGAAAAGAGUUUCAAAUCUUAUUCAAACGAUUAAUAACUAUUAUAUAGAGAAUAAACAUGAUUUAACAUGACAGAUAUACUAUAUGCUUUAAUGUUAAAUUAGAACAUUAUUGAUGAAAGGAUAUCCAUUAUACUGAGAAAUUGGUCACUAAAAUGUUAAGUCAAACCACUAAUGAUUUCCAAUAUUUAGAGAAUCAUGACAUGUUACUAGACGAUGCACCUGAUCUUUAAAUAUAAAUUAAUCAAUUGUUGAAUUAAUAAUAAAUUAAAUUAUUUAAUCUAUUUAAUUAGAAUUAUAAUUUAUAUUUAGGCCUACAUAUUAGGAACCUAAUAAGUUACACGCAUUAAGAAUCAUUAAUCAAAAAUUAAACUAGAAUGAUUUAGUUAAGUAUGACUUGAUUACAAUAUAUUUUAGAAAUUAAGGAAUAGAUUAUAAUUAAUACAAAUAUUAUAUUUCUAGACUUGUAAAAUCAAGUAAGGACUUAAUUGAGCUACUUUCUGUAUUAUCUUUAAAUAAUAUAUGGAUAUUAUUUAAGGGACAAAUAAAUAUUUUAUGUGAAGCUUGCUUUACAUACUGAAUUUAAUUUCCCAAAAAAAAAAAUCCGACCACAAAAUUUUUCAAUAAUUUACAAACGUAGUUAAUUCACAUCUUAGGUAUGUGGCCAUGCAUGAUUUAAGCACCAAAACGUAGAUAAAGUAUACAAGAAAUUACUGUGUCUAACCAAUUCGGGUAGUAAAUUACUUAAGGCUUCGGAGAAGAGGUAAUUCAGAGAGAAUUACCUCACAUUUAUUUAAGAUAACUCAUGUAAAUUUCAAAAACUUAAGUCAUCCAAAUUAUAGUUCUAAUUUAUUUGUAAGGUUUUAGAAAUAACGAGAUUGUAAUUUUUCUCAGUAAAAAAUUUCUUGAGCCUAGUUUUAUUAAUCCAUAUUUUUAAUGAAUUUCUUAUAAAAAAUUAAUGGGGCAAUGGUAAGAACAGUAUUAAUUUUGGAUUACCUGAUUUUUUUAAAAUAGAGUUUAUACGUACUGCUAUAAAUUGAUAAUAAUAUUUGCAUCUCAGAAGAAACAUUUGAUCGUAUGUGCAAAUGUGAUUCAUAUGUGCUCCCGGCGAAUAUCUCAACCUUCUUACGUGAUAUAUGAUGCUGAAUACAUAAAAAUGGGAGAACGAAGCGAAGAAGGAUUUAAUUACAAAAACUACAAUCAAACUAAAUCUCUAAGAUAUGAUUUACAAAUCAAGCUUUAAUUCUUUUGAUUCGAUCCGAAGCCACCAAAUUACAUCCAAAUUACAUAUUUGGUUUUUUUUUUUUUUUUCCAGUUGCAAUUUGCGGCGGCAUCGCAUUUCCAGGAGCUAAGCUUUAACAAGGUUGCUUACUCACAUUACUAUUUUGCAUGCAUAAAUCUAUGCUAGAAGUAUUUGGAACUAAUUACUUUGACAACGCUUCUGUUUGCAUGAUAAGACUGCCCAAAAGUAGGCAAGGAACAGAGCAUUAGAAUUAGUUGUGAAACGAGGACAGCACCUGGUUGAUCCGAGUGAUGGAGAAAAAGUGGAUGAUUGGAGUUCUCCCAUGCUUCUGAGGUCUUGAAAGAGUUCGGCAGCGCCUGUUUUAUUCAAGAAGCUUUUGUUCUUCGUCACCAGGCAUGAGGUAUUUUAGUUGUAUGGAUUCCUAGCUUCUCAGAACUAGAGCUCUGAUACCAUAAAGAAAAUGAUAAUGCGAAUGUUUUCUGUAAUUUCUUUUUUCAAUAUUGCAAAGCUGUACGACAUAUAUAUGCAGUUUACAUACAAUCUGAUCCACCAUUCUAAGAGCUAUUCUAGGAUUAACUUUGAUAAACUGUUAAAGAAUCGAAAUGUCAAAGCAACCAAUCUCUUCACGGCGAAUUGUACUUCACAAAAAAGCGCACUCCUAAAUAAAUAAAUAAUGUGAAUACACUAAGAAAGGGUGAUUGAAGUAAAGAUGCAACAACUGCUGCAUGCAUUGGUUCUUUUUUUAUAGAUGUAACACCCAAACCUUGCAUCAAAGUUAACCAAAAAAAAAAACACGCAAAUUAAGUGACUCGAAAAUAUUCCAUGUAUCGAAUAAAGCUAAUAAUAAAAAUAAAAUUAAAACACAACCAUGAAGGAAAACAGAAGCAGUACGAAAGAGGAAUCCAAUUCUCUGAAUCUGCCACUCUAGCGUUCUUCUCAUGUCAACCUCCACUUGGUAUCUCAUAAGGUAGCGAGAAUGUUUAUUCCAAACUUCACUGCAAUAGAGAAACAUACAAAUAAUUUUUUUUAUUUAAUGAAUCCGAAAGCGAAAGAAAAGACUAAUAAAAGGAAAUAGCACAGAAAAAAUAGCAUAAACUGUUGCACGUAAAACCUUAAGAUUUCAAAUGUUUGCAUAACUUACCUCAUGUUACUAGCUCCGUUGUUUAGUUUCUUCUUGCACCAUUCCUACGAGCAUUCUUCUUCGUUCUUCUUGCCUUCAGAUUCCAUAGAUCUUCAACCAAUUUCAGAAACCAUGCUGGUUCUCUUGUUCUGAACAAAACGUAUCCCAUUGUGACUCCAAACACAAACCCAUUUCCAUACCCUAUUGCCACAGCUUUCCAUCCAAAUCCUUCUCCAAAGAACUUUGAAUCAUCUCCAUCGUGAAAGUUUGAUGGCUGCGAUGGUGGUGCCUCGUCACUGUUGCAUUCUUUUGGCAUUGGAAAUCCACAUAAGUCCAAGUUUCCUUCAAAUGAGAUUGCAUUAAACGUGUUGAACUGCUUUCCAGUGGGUAUGGGCCCCUCAAGCUGGUUAUGUGAAAGGUUUAAGACUCCAAGAAAUGUUAGAUCUGCCAACUGUACUGGAAUCCUUCCAGUAAGAAAAUUUGAAGACAGAUCUAAUGAUUCCAGAUUGGUAAACAUUCCUAAUGAUGAUUGAAUUUGACCUGUAAGGGAAUUCUGAGAGAGGUUGAGUUGUUAAAGUCCUUUAAGCUUUCCGAUCUCCCCUGGAAUCUCUCCGAUGAAACUGUUGUUUGACAAAUCAAGUAUUCUAAGAGCGCUUUGGAUUUUCGUGAACUUAAUAUCAAACCCUUUCCAUGUCACUUCUAUGGAAUAGGAAUAGUUAGGGUAAUUUCUUGCCAUCAUGUAAAAUGUAUUUUGAUCAUAGACCAUCAUUGCUUCAAGACUAUUAAAAUACCCUGUUGGCAAUUGUCCACUCAAAUUAUUGCUGGAGAUUUCGAAGAUCCGUAAUUUAGAGAAGGAAUUAUUAGUAGUCAAACCAUUCACAAGACCCUGGAGUUUAUUGGAUUUUAGGAUAAGAACAUGCAGCUCUGGAAGCAUUUCUAGGAAAUAGGGGAAUGUAUCCUCAAUUUUAUUGUCGCCAAGAUCAAGAAUUUCCAGCAUUGCACAGUUGAUGAUAGAUAAUGGUAUUUUCCCUUCCAAUUCAUUGCCAUUUAGGUUGAGAUAUCCCAAGUUAUUCCCUUUUGAAAAUGGUGAAAAGAUGGUGCCUCGAAGAUUAUUCAUGCCAAGAUUCAAAAUUGAGAGAGAGUUGCUCAAGUUCCCUAAACAUUGUGGUACAAAACCACUCAAGCUGUUGUUGGACAAAUCAAGGAGUUGAAGGAAUUUAAGCUUGCAAAUAGAGGAAGAAAUUUCACCUGUUAUUUUAUUGUUGGAUGCAAGAGCAAGGGCUUCCAGUUUCUCUUGUUUGAAAAUUGAACUUGGGAUUGGACCAUGCAAGUGAUUGUUUCUUAAAUCAAACAAUUUCAAUGAAAGAGUACUUAUUUGAGAAGGGAUAGGUCCUGAGAGUUGAUUACUAGAUAAACCUAAAUUUUCAAGGUGGGUUAGGUACUCUAAAAAAUCUGGAAUUCUACCUGAAAAAUUAUUGUUAUCCAGAUACAAGGAUUUAAGUUGCACAAGGUUUCUAAAUGAUGAUGGAAUCUCACCACCCAAAUUAUUACCUGCAAGGUCCAAACGAGUGAGCCAUAUAAGAGAACCAAUCAGGGUUAAAUUUGAACCUAUGAUAUUACUGUUUCUAAGAGCCAGAACUUCCAAUAACUUUAGAUUUGUGAAGAAGUCAUUUUCUAAAUAAACUGAAAUUCUAGUAUGAGAAAGACCCAAUAAACAGAGGGCAUUACUGACAUUGGAUGAAGGAAAAGAGCCAGUGAGGUCGUCGUUGGAUGUCAAAUCAAGUGAUUCAAGGUUUGGUAGGAGAAAGAUGUUACCUGGGAACUUCCCUUUCAAUCCACAACCCCAAAGGGCAAGACCUGACAAGGAUGAGGACAGAUUCGCCAAGGAAUUAGGUGUGACCAAAUCCAUAUUUACAUAACCCAAACGGAGAUCUCUUAGCUUGGUUAGGUUUUGAAUAAUCUUGUCAAAAGAACUUGGUUCUACAAUCAAAUAGUCAUUGAAAGAGAGAUCAAUUGAAACCAACUCAGUGAGUUGUCCAAGAUCAUCUGGAGUUGAACCUGUAAGAUUGCUGAAUCUAAGAUCCAAGUACUGGAGGUGCUUAAACUUUCUCACUGAGGAUGGGAAUUUUCCUUGCAAUCCACAGGAAUAGAGUACAAGUGAUGACAAAGAAGAAGACAGAUUCAUCAAGGAAUUGGGUACAACCAAUGACAUGUUCACCCACCUCAGAUUGAGUUCUCUAAGCUGGGUUAGAUUUCGAACAAGCUUGUCAAAAGAAAUUGGUUCUAGACUUAGAUAGUCGUUUUCGUUUCCAGAGAGAGCAAGUGAAACCAACUCAGUGAGUUGCUCAAGAUCAUAUGGAAUUGGACCUGCAAGAUUGUUAUCUGCAAGAUUCAACUGCUGGAGGUGCUUAAACUUUCUCAUUGAGGAUGGGAAUUCUCCUUGCAAUCCACAGGAAAGGAGUUUGAGUGAUGACAAAGAAGAAGACAGAUUCAUCAAGGAAUUGGGUG
rnacentral:lncRNA from 1 species